rnacentral:tRNA from 1 species
AUAGCUUGGUUGUAAAGUGCUUGCCUUGCAAGCAUGAGGACCUAAGUUUGAUCCUUGGU